GAUGAACGCUGGCGGCGUGCCUAAUACAUGCAAGUCGAGCGAAUGGAUUAAGAGCUUGCUCUUAUGAAGUUAGCGGCGGACGGGUGAGGAACACGUGGGUAACCUGCCCAUAAGACUGGGAUAACUCCGGGAAACCGGGGCUAAUACCGGAUAACAUUUUGAACCGCAUGGUUCGAAAUUGAAAGGCGGCUUCGGCUGUCCCUGAUGGAUGGACCCGCAUCGCAUUAGCUAGUUGGUGAGGUAACGGCUCACCAAGGCGACGAUGCGUAGCCGACCUGAGAGGGUGAUCGACCACACUGGGACUGGGACACGGCCCAGACUCCUACGGUAGGCAGCAGUAGGGAAUCUUCCGCAAUGGACGAAAGUCUGACGGAGCAACGCCGCGUGAGUGAUGAAGGCUUUCGGGUCGUAAAACUCUGUUGUUAGGGAAGAACAAGUGCUAGUUGAAUAAGCUGGCACCUUGACGGUACCUAACCAGAAAGCCACGGCUAACUACGUGCCAGCCGCCGCAGUAA
rnacentral:rRNA from 1 species